GAUUUUGUAGUUCAAUGGGUAGAACUCCGGCCUGUUAAGCCGAAUGUUGAAGGUUCAAGUCCUUCCGAAAUUACCA
rnacentral:tRNA from 1 species